rnacentral:rRNA from 1 species
AUUGAACGCUGGCGGCGUGCUUAACACAUGCAAGUCGUGCGGUAACAGGCGUAGCAAUACGUGCUGACGAGCGGCGAACGGGUGCGUAAUACAUGGGAAUCUGCCUUUUAGUGGGGAAUAACCCGGCGAAAGCCGGGCUAAUGCCGCAUAAGAUCUUCGGAUGAAAGCGGGGGAUCGUAAGACCUCGCGCUGAUAGAUGAGCCCAUGCCGGAUUAGCAGUUGGCGGGGUAAUGGCCCACCAAGGCGACGACGGGUAGCUGGUCUGAGAGGAUGGCCAGCCACAUUGGGACUGAGACACGGCCCAGACUCCUACGGGAGGCAGCAGUGGGAAUCUUGCGCAAUGGCCGCAAGGCUGACGCAGCGACGCCGCGUGUGGGAUGACGGCC